rnacentral:rRNA from 1 species
GAUGAACGCUAGCGGCAGGCUUAAUACAUGCAAGUCGAGGGACAGCACAGGUAGCAAUACUGGGUGGUAACCGGCAAACGGGUGCGGAACACGUACACAACCUUCCUUUAAGUGGGGGAUAGCCCAGAGAAAUUUGGAUUAAUACCCCGUAAUAUAGUUGAAUGGCAUCAUUUGAUUAUUAUAGCUACGGCGCUUAAUGAUGGGUGUGCGGCUGAUUAGAUAGUUGGCGGGGUAACGGCCCACCAAGUCUACGAUCAGUAGCUGAUGUGAGAGCAUGAGAAGCCACACGGGAACUGAGACACGGGCCCGACUCCUACGGGAGGCAGCAGUAAGGAAUAUUGGUCAAUGGACGCAAGUCUGAACCAGCCAUGCCGCGUGAAGGAUUAAGGUCCUCUGGAUUGUAAACUUCUUUUAUUUGGGACGAAAAAGGGCCUUUCUAGGUCAACUGACGGUACCAGAUGAAUAAGCACCGGCUAACUCCGUGCCAGCCGCCGCCGUAAAAC